rnacentral:tRNA from 2 species
GGGGGUAUAGCUCAGCUGGAUAGAGCAACGGCCUUCUAAGCCGUAGGUCGAGGGUUCGAGUCCUUCUGCCCCCGCCA